rnacentral:misc_RNA from 1 species
AAAAGGCAUAGAGUUACCUACCUUGAUGCGUAUUUCCGCCAUGUUUCUGUUUUCAAGAAGCGUGAAUAUGUGAUUGCUGCUAUAAUGCAGCCUGUCAUUGUGUUGUUUGGGACUCCAAUCCGUCACUUUAGGUAGGCAGAAGGGGACAGUUAAGUAUGAGUGCAUCUGUCCCCUCUCUGGAUGCCAUUCCCCUCCCGGGGGAGACAGCUGGCGAUCAGAAAAGUGAGAAGAAAAAGUCAAAGCUCAGAAGAUUGCAGGAUUCCAAUCAGCCAUCUAGUAUACUUGUAACCAAAGUAGUUACCACAAAAACAUCUAGUCACCCUCACCCAGCCAGCAAACUAAAGACGAUAGAUGGCAAACAGAAGGGUCUUCCUGUGGCACCAUUCCCCGACCUGGCUAGUGUUAGGAAUCAGUCUACCUCAACAGUACCAAAUCUGGCAAACUCCCAAAGCUCAUGUUCCAAUCCAUCAAGUGCUGGGACUAAGUCACUCUCAUUACCUCCCUCACAGACUAUUGUUGAUGAAUUAUUCAAAGAUUUCCUUGCCUCGAAACAGAAGGAGGAACAGAGCACACUAGACCAGAAUGACCCUGAUAUUGUGAGUUCCAUGGAAGAGAUGAGUAAACUGUUGGACGAGGAAAUCAGCAUGAUUAAUGGGAACACUAUUUCACAGAACCAACGCAAGAAAAAGGGGCGGUGGGAUUGUGAAGAAAAGAAAGAAAGUGUGAAUGUCGUGGAAGAGAAAACAAAAAGUGAACGUAAGAAAGGUAGAUGGGAUAGUGAAUCUAGGAAGGAGAGUGAAGUUAAGAUUGGUGUUGAAGUUGUGAGCCAUGGGGCUGAGGUGGAGAAGGCUGACGCUGACGAGGCAGUGAAUGAGGGGAAAGAUAAAGUGGGGGGGAUCAAGCUUGAGAUCAGUAAGCAGAGCAGAGACUGGAUUAACUCAGGGGACAUGACGGACCAGAAGAAGAAGGCGGUGUUGGAGGAAGGUGAGGUUUUGUCUUCGUCCAGCGACGAGAGCGACGAGGAGUCUGAGGACAGUGAAGUAGUUGAAGAUGGUCUUAUAGAAACAGGGUCACUUUCCAACUCAGACAAGGAAGGAAAGAGCAAAUCAAAGAAGAAGAAAAAACACAAACAUAAACACAAAAAGAAGAAAAAACACAAAAGCGCUAAGGGUGAACGAAAAAAUUCCAAAGAUAAGAGUUCUAAAGAGGACAGGAAGGAAGGGAAGAAGGAUGUGAAAAAGGAAAAGUCGGAGGAAGGGAAGAAGAAAGAAGACAAGAAGGAGAGGAAGAAAGAAGACAAGAAGGACCACAAAUCAAAGAGUUCUGAGAAACGGAGACACUCUCGAUCAAGAUCUAAGUCACCCAAAAGAAGGCGGACGCGGUCUCGUACGAAAAGCAAAGAGCGACACAGAGAGAGAACCGAUGAUCGGGAUGCCAGGAGUUAUGGAGGCCUUGGUCAUCCUAGAUCAGACAGACAUCAUCGGAGGUCAAGGAGCAGGUCAAGGUCACGAGAUAGGUCAAGGUCGAAGUCCAGAGAAAGGUCAAAGUCCCGAGAUAGGUCACAUGAGAAAUCCCGCCGGAGAGACCGCGAUGAACGACAUCAUGACAGAGAGUACCGGCAUCGUGAAAGAGAGCGAGGUGGCGAGAGGGACCGAAUAAAGGAUGCUGAUCGAGAAAAAGAUUUACGUGUGAAAAUAGACAAAUCCAAGCUCAGGAAAAUAGCCAUUGCCAAUGUGCUGGCUGCUGUGAAGGCCGGUGAACAGGGUGCGGAUGUGGAUCUCGCUACUCUCAAAGCUGGGGGCAAGUCGGUGGAGGAACUGACAGAUUUCUGUAAGAAGAUCUCUGAGAAAGGCUACAGUGAUAGCGACAGUGACAGCGAGUAUGGGCGACACUCGGAUGGGGAGGAGGGGGAGGGCCCCUUCAUCAACCACCCCUUCAAGCUGAGGGAUCCAUCCACACUCCCCAACAUCAUCAUGAACAUACGGAACUCGAAGCAGCUGCCAGUGCUCACCCCUCAGGCCAAGGCGACCCAGUGUGCCCAGCUUCGCCUCCAGUUCCCGGUCUCCAGCGGCAGCCAGCACCGCGCCAAGGAGGACCAGUGGGUGCCGGUGGAGAAGACAACAGCCCCCGUCACGACAACCAUUGCAACCAUUACACCUGUGGUGGCAACAACAGCAGCAGCAGCAGCAACUGUGGUGACUCAUACAACAGCAGCUCAGGCCGUGGCCCAGACAGCUGCUGUGAGUGUACCACUGUGUGUACCCCAGGAGGAUAAAGUCUUCCCUGACCCCCCCGCAGAGCCCAUUGACAUCGGUGCUAUCGUGUCGGAGAGGCUAUCCCUGGUGCGGAAGCUCACAGAAAACCCGUACGACGUCCAGGCCCUCUGCUCUAUGCACAAAGCCCAGGAGAAGUCCAGCCAGUGGGCCCAGUCCAAGUUCCUCCCUGGCCAGUUCACCGGCAGCACCGGAGUACAGCCUCUCUCCCAGCUGGAGCUCGCGGGACCAGAUAAGAAAAAUCAAGCGUGGUUUAAGAAGGGUUCUGUUUUGACAAAACACAGGCGUGUAGGUUGACGUUGAUACUAGUGCUGAGGUACAGCACAAAGUGGUACUGGAGCCUAGCUGGUGGACCAGCUGAAAAAGGCGGCGCCUGUACAGGGGGGUAUCGGGAAGUGGCUGCUGGAGAAGAUGGGCUGGAGGCCAGGUGAAGGGCUUGGGAAGAACAAUGAGGGCUCGAAGGAGCCGCUGAUGCUGGACUUCAA